CCUACGGGUGGCAGCAGUGAGGAAUAUUGGUCAAUGGACGAGAGUCUGAACCAGCCAAGUAGCGUGAAGGAUGACUGCCCUAUGGGUUGUAAACUUCUUUUAUAUGGGAAUAAAAUAUUCCACGUGUGGGAUUUUGUAUGUACCAUAUGAAUAAGGAUCGGCUAACUCCGUGCCAGCAGCCGCGGUAAUACGGAGGAUCCGAGCGUUAUCCGGAUUUAUUGGGUUUAAAGGGAGCGUAGGUGGAUUGUUAAGUCAGUUGUGAAAGUUUGCGGCUCAACCGUAAAAUUGCAGUUGAAACUGGCAGUCUUGAGUACAGUAGAGGUGGGCGGAAUUCGUGGUGUAGCGGUGAAAUGCUUAGAUAUCACGAAGAACUCCGAUUGCGAAGGCAGUUCACUGGACUGCAACUGACACUGAGGCUCGAAAGUGUGGGUAUCAAACAGGAUUAGAUACCCGAGUAGUC
rnacentral:rRNA from 1 species